rnacentral:tRNA from 5 species
GCCUUAUUUUGUGGGACUUUUUCCCUGAUUUGUAAUCAGGGGGUCGGGAGUUCGAGUCUCUCUGGGGGCACCA